ensembl:lncRNA
AAAGGGGGGGGAUACCUAGUCAGUUGGGAAAAGGGGGGGGGUUACCUAUCAGUUGGGAAAAGGGGGGGAUACCUAGUCAGUUGGGAAAAGGGGGGGAUACCUAGUCAGUUGCUCAACAGAAAGCCUUCAACCUCAAUGGGUCUUCCGCAAUUAACCCAACCCCUCUGAAUCAGAGAGGUGAGGUGGGGACUAUCGACGUCAUCGGCACCCAGGGAACAGUUGUUGUUGGGGGUUAACUACCUUGCUCAAGGGCAGAACGGCAGAUUGUUCCAUCUUGCCGUCUCGGGGAUUUGAACCAGCGACCAUUCGGUUACCGGCCCAUUGAGAUGAACUGCUAGGUUAGAGAGAGAGCUUGGCAGUCUGCUGUCAUUACUGCUAGCUAGCAUGACGACGAAAAGGGCAGUUAUCGGGGGAAACCAGCAGUAUUUCAGUCUUCUCGAUGGAGUAGCGUGGAACCUGUGGAUAAAGAUCCAGUUUGGGACAGAUCCCAUCUCUGCAUUGAGAUAUAUGGGUGAGACAACGUCUCUCGCCGAGUCCACAGUGUGUUAAUGGAAACAUGAUUGUGCAUCCGACUCCUGAGCAGCUCAGUGUAAACAAGCGUAACAGUAGGGUUUGGUAUCUUCUAGCAGACUGCCA